rnacentral:rRNA from 1 species
UGGCGGCAGGCCUAACACAUGCAAGUCGAGCGGCAGCGGGAAGUAGCUUGCUACUUUGCCGGCGAGCGGCGGACGGGUGAGUAAUGUCUGGGAAACUGCCUGAUGGAGGGGGAUAACUACUGGAAACGGUAGCUAAUACCGCAUGACGUCUUCGGACCAAAGUGGGGGACCUUCGGGCCUCACGCCAUCGGAUGUGCCCAGAUGGGAUUAGCUAGUAGGUGGGGUAACGGCUCACCUAGGCGACGAUCCCUAGCUGGUCUGAGAGGAUGACCAGCCACACUGGAACUGAGACACGGUCCAGACUCCUACGGGAGGCAGCAGUGGGGAAUAUUGCACAAUGGGCGCAAGCCUGAUGCAGCCAUGCCGCGUGUGUGAAGAAGGCCUUCGGGUUGUAAAGCACUUUCAGCGAGGAGGAAGGCAUAAAGGUUAAUAACCUUUGUGAUUGACGUUACUCGCAGAAGAAGCACCGGCUAACUCCGUG